rnacentral:rRNA from 1 species
UACAAAGGUGGCAAGCGUUGUUCGGAAUUACUGGGCGUAAAGGGCGCGUAGGCGGCCUUCUAAGUCAGACGUGAAAUCCCCCGGCUUAACCUGGGAACUGCGUCUGAUACUGGGAGGCUUGAGUAUGGGAGAGGGAUGUAGAAUUCCAGGUGUAGCGGUGAAAUGCGUAGAUAUCAGGAGGAACACCGAUGGCGAAGGCAGGUCUCUGGGCCACUACUGACGCUGAGAAGCGAAAGCAUGGGGAGCGAACAGG